CUACGGGCCGCUCCAGUGAGGAAUAUUGCACAAUGGGGGGAACCCUGAUGCAGCAACGCCGCGUGGAGGAUGACGCAUUUCGGUGUGUAAACUCCUUUUAUAUGUCAAGAAAAUGACGGUAGCAUAUGAAUAAGCGCCGGCUAACUCCGUGCCAGCAGCCGCGGUAAUACGGAGGGCGCAAGCGUUACUCGGAAUCACUGGGCGUAAAGGACGCGUAGGCGGGUUGAAAAGUCAGGUGUGAAAGCCUACAGCUUAACUGUAGAACUGCACUUGAAACUCUCAAUCUAGAGUAUGGGAGGGGCAGAUGGAAUUAGUGGUGUAGGGGUAAAAUCCGUAGAUAUCACUAGGAAUACCUAAAGCGAAGGCGAUCUGCUGGAACAUUACUGACGCUAAGGCGUGAAAGCGUGGGGAGCAAACAGGAUUAGAUACCCGGUAGUC
rnacentral:rRNA from 1 species